rnacentral:ncRNA from 1 species
AUGAGCCGUAUGCGGGGAAACUCGCACGUACGGUUCCUCGGGGGGGAUGGGUCAGCAAUGACCUGUCCCUACCCUCC